GAUGAACGCUGGCGGCGUGCCUAAUACAUGCAAGUCGAGCGAACAGACGAGGAGCUUGCUCCUCUGACGUUAGCGGCGGACGGGUGAGUAACACGUGGAUAACCUACCUAUAAGACUGGGAUAACUUCGGGAAACCGGAGCUAAUACCGGAUAAUAUAUUGAACCGCAUGGUUCAAUAGUGAAAGACGGUUUUGCUGUCACUUAUAGAUGGAUCCGCGCGGCAUUAGCUAGUUGGUAAGGUAACGGCUUACCAAGGCAACGAUGCGUAGCCGACCUGAGAGGGUGAUAGGCCACACGGGAACUGAGACACGGUCCAGACUCCUACGGGAGGCAGCAGUAGGGAAUCUUCCGCAAUGGGCGAAAGCCUGACGGAGCAACGCCGCGUGAGUGAUGAAGGUCUUCGGAUCGUAAAACUCUGUUAUUAGGGAAGAACAAAUGUGUAAGUAACUAUGCACGUCUUGACGGUACCUAAUCAGAAAGCCACGGCUAACUACGUG
rnacentral:rRNA from 1 species